UGAUGUCAAUGAUGCCAUCUAAAAAUCCCUUACUUACCUUGUUUGAAUAAAAGCUGAUAUCAUUAACAUUAUCUGAGACAUCU